UACGUAGGUGGCGAGCGUUGUCCGGAUUUACUGGGCGUAAAGAGCGCGCAGGCGGUCGUACAAGUCGCGUGUGAAAGCCCCCGGCUCAACUGGGGAGGGUCACGCGAUACUGUUCGACUCGAAGGCAGGAGAGGGAAGUGGAAUUCCCGGUGUAGUGGUGAAAUGCGUAGAUAUCGGGAGGAACACCAGUGGCGAAGGUGACUUCCUGGCCUGUUCUUGACGCUGAGGCGCGAAAGCUAGGGUAGCAAACGGG
rnacentral:rRNA from 1 species